AUGAACGCUGGCGGCAUGGAUUAGGCAUGCAAGUCGAACGGUGAGGCCCCGCAAGGGGCCGAUCAGUGGCGUAAGGGUGAGGAACACGUGAGCAACCUGCCCCUGAAUUCGGGAUAGCUCCGGGAAACUGGAAUUAAUACCGGAUGUGGUUCUCCGCCGCAUGGCGGGGGGACUAAAGAUUUAUUGUUCAGGGAGGGGCUCGCGUCCGAUUAGCUUGUUGGUGAGGUGACGGCCCACCAAGGCUGUGACAGGUAGCUGGUCUGAGAGGAUGGUCAGCCACACUGGGACUGAGACACUGCCCAGACUCCUACGGGAGGCUGCAGUCGAGAAUCUUCGGCAAUGGGCGCAAGCCUGACCGAGCGAUGCCGCGUGAGGGAUGAAGGCCUUCUGGUUGUAAACCUCUGUCACCCGGGACGAACGCAAUGACGGUACCGGGAGAGGAAGUCACGGCUAACUACGU
rnacentral:rRNA from 1 species